rnacentral:misc_RNA from 1 species
GAGAUUCUCUCCCUCUUUUUUUCGCUCUUAUUGGUGUUCCUCCUCCUUGUCAGGCCCUGUCAUCUCACCCCUCCCUCUCUUGAAACCCGACCUUUUUGUUUGUUUGCCCUCCCCCCACUCGCUGACUCACACUUCUCUCUACAGCAGUCGCAGCACGCGAGGGUGACUCUUUCUUUUCCUGCUUGCGUACGUGUAGCUGUUCACCGGUGCGGCCGCAAGCAACAGAGGAGACGUCUAUAGGGCGAAGCGAGAAUCAUGUCUAGCAACCAAGAUGACCACGGGGGCGAGAUGAUCUCUGCAGAGGACCAGUUCAACGUCGACAUGGACGCUGAGGCGGAGCUGGAGGAGAUGAAGCGGCAGGUGGAAAGCCUGCAGGAAGACAUGCAGCUCAAGGCACUGCAGGAGUCGGCCGCCAAGGACGAGGGCACACGCAAGACGGCUGCUGCUGCGGCAGCAAGCAGCGGGCAGACCAAGACGAACACCUCCAUCUUUGUAGGCGACCUUGACUUGAGGACCACGGACGCGGAUUUGCGCGUCUUUUUCGCCUCCUGCGGUGCCAUUACGCGCGUAACGGUCUUGAAGGACCGUCAGGGCAACCCGAAAGGCACCGCCUACGUCGAGUUUGAAACCGAAGGGCAGGCACACGCGGCUAUCCUCAAGGAUGGGCAGUCGCUGCAUGGUAAGCCACUGAAGGUGGCAAUGAAGCGGGACAACAUUCCCGCAUUCCAACGUGGCAUCUCACGUGGCGGUGCGUACGCGCUGCGCGGUAGAGGUGCGGGCAACCCAAUGCAGCAGCAGAUCGCUGCGCUGGCCAUGAUGGCUGGUAUGAUGAGCCAGGGCUUCAACCCGUAUAAUAUGGGCCGUGGCGGCGGCCGCGGCCGCGGUCGUGGUCGCGGAGGCUAUUAGCGCCUGUUUAUAGUCUGCAAAGCGGCACGGACCCGCCUCACUGCUGGAGUGCGGUCGCGCGCGCUGGCACAUGCAUUCUACAACGACAUCUGCUUUGAGCAGUGCCCUUGUCUCUCCUCCUCACGCAACCGCACCUCCGCUUAGGGUUAGACUUGUGCACGACUUCUCCGCAAGGGUGAGAAGAGAACAUAUUGCCACUCUCCGAGCCCUCCGUUUUUCUCCCUCCCUCUCGGUGGUGCUGUGAGUGGUACGUGCGCCUGCUCAGCGCACACCUAUGCCACUGAAGCCUACCGUAGUGAAACAAAAAGUAAAGGGGAGCGCCAACGAAACACCCGCUACGUGACGAGCUGCCGUGUCUUUCCACCUCCACGCACGUGGCACUCAAAACACCAGUCAGCGGAGGCGCGCGUGGAAAAAAAAACAGAAGACACCGAUUAUGAAAGAAGCCAACCAAAGAAAAGCGAAUUGAAAGCGGAUGUGAGCCACGUACGCGUACGCGCACACUGGGAUAUGCUCGCCUGCCGAGUCGGCACAGUACACGCAUCUUUAUCGCGCACUCCCUCCCGCAUAUCUUUUCCCCUUUACACGCCUCCUCCCCCUCCCCCGGCUGCUGUUGUCUCCGUCGAAGCGCUGCGUUGCCAACGGGGUGAAAGAGGUGAAACGGGUGAGGAGGCGGCGGCAGCGGAGCGUGUACUUGACGGCUGCAGCAGGUACGCGGUGGUGUAGCUGGUCUCUCGCCUGCAGCAGCCCAUUCUUGCGUCACACCCCAGUGACGGCUCUCCUAACCUCUGUAGGCUGCAAGGGACAACGUUAUUCUCGUCUCCCCUGUGUGUGCGUUGUGGUGUGCGUAGCGGUAGUGCGAAACGACGCUCACAGGCGUGCCUUUGGAUACACUGAUGGCUCCUUGGUCUGCCGCACUCUCCCCUGCAUCUUUUCUUCCGUUCGUCCCCGUCCUCUCUCUCUGUUUCGUACCUG